CGCACGUAUCGAAAGAUCGGGACGGGUGAAAUUUGUCGGAAGAGGCGUAUCGCGACGUUUUGGAAAGUAGAAGAGAAGAGAGGAGAAAAAGAAAGAAAGAGAGGAGAAGAAAAGAGAGAAAAAAGGAGAGAGAGAAAAAGAGCCACGACGGCGAAUGAUAUAGAGCGAAAGUGUAAACGCCCCUCUCUCUUUCGCUCUCCUGCCCCUCCCUCGCGCGUUCCUAGCCCCUCUUCCCUUGUCUCGCUCUUUCGUCCCGUCAUAUUCUCGUCUCCGUCACACCCGCGCUCACUGUUGCGCAGUUUUCGAGGUCACCUCAAGUUCAUCAUCGAUAAUAGCACAAGGCGAAAACAAGCAGCUAGACCUGGGCGUCCCCGAUAAGUACAUACUACAGAUAAAAAAUUCCAUCGGAUUUGGUUCAGAACGAACUUUCGUUUGGCCUUGGGAGGCGCCGCGUACGCGGCCCAAAGUAAAUUGCCAACGCGCGGAUCGUUGGCUACCGAAACGAGAGGGACGGCGGCGUAGGAGGGGGGGCACGGAGAGGGCCGAUGGAGGAGAGAGGAGAGAGAGAAAAAGAGCGAAAGAGAGAGAGAGAGAACGAGCGAGAUGAGUAAGUAUCGAGUAAAUAGACGUAUGCAAGGAGGACUCGCGGACGUCACGUAAGCAAGAGGCAGACUUUUGCACACACCAUCGGAAUCGACAACGUCGACAGAUGGCAGCAUGAAUUCCGUGUUUCGCAAACACGGGGCCAUUAGCGAGCGUUACGUAACCUACGAAAUUUCUUUUCUCCUAAUUUUUCGAUUCCAACGCGACUCGUUCCGUUCCUCCGCUCG